ACGGGUGAGUAAUGCCUAGGAAUCUGCCUGGUAGUGGGGGAUAACGCUCGGAAACGGACGCUAAUACCGCAUACGUCCUACGGGAGAAAGCAGGGGACCUUCGGGCCUUGCGCUAUCAGAUGAGCCUAGGUCGGAUUAGCUAGUUGGUGGGGUAAUGGCUCACCAAGGCGACGAUCCGUAACUGGUCUGAGAGGAUGAUCAGUCACACUGGAACUGAGACACGGUCCAGACUCCUACGGGAGGCAGCAGUGGGGAAUAUUGGACAAUGGGCGAAAGCCUGAUCCAGCCAUGCCGCGUGUGUGAAGAAGGUCUUCGGAUUGUAAAGCACUUUAAGUUGGGAGGAAGGGCAUUAACCUAAUACGUUAGUGUUUUGACGUUACCGACAGAAUAAGCACCGGCUAACUCUGUGCCAGCAGCCGCGGUAAUACAGAGGGUGCAAGCGUUAAUCGGAAUUACUGGGCGUAAAGCGCGCGUAGGUGGUUCGUUAAGUUGGAUGUGAAAUCCCCGGGCUCAACCUGGGAACUGCAUUCAAAACUGUCGAGCUAGAGUAUGGUAGAGGGUGGUGGAAUUUCCUGUGUAGCGGU
rnacentral:rRNA from 1 species